CGGCACGGACGGGAAGUCGGACGGGUCAGCCCCAGGCCCCGGUGGCAGCGCGGCUUCUACCGACACCUCUCCUACCACCGCACUAGGCUCUUGCAUCAGCGAAAGGGAACGACACCCCGCCCUCUCUUCCCAAGCGUUGGAAAUACGCCUGCGCAGAGGCUGCCAAGGCGCAGGCGCGCGGAGGAGCCGACCUGGAGCGCUCCGUCUGGCGCGAGUUACCAGGCGACGGCGCGGCGCGGCGCGGCGCGGCGCGGCGGCCGGCAAGCCGGGACUUGUAGUCCACCUAAAAGAGGCGGGCACUUAGAGGACGGCCGCCCAGCGAUCCGUGCGCGUGUGAGACGUCUAAAGGAAGUCGCAAGGAACAUGGUCCCAGGUCUGACUUCCCUGAACUGGCUCCUUGCAAGAGACUCUUCAGAGAUUUCAAGCAUUCCCCCAAGAUACAGAAGCCAAGUUAUGGAGUCCACAAAAAAUAGUAAGAAAUCCAGAAAUAGACUACUCGAAUCUUCACUGUGGGCCAUUUUUGAUGCUCAGCACCACUCUAGAUCUCCCACUACUCAAUAGUAAG
rnacentral:lncRNA from 1 species